UUGGAAGCCAAAAGAAUUUGAAUUUGAAAUUCAAACUGUGAGCCAAACAAAAUCGAAACUAUUCAAAUCGAUUUAUUUGUUAUUUUCGUAUUCAUCGACUAUAAUUGAUGACCUUGUCAUGUCGUGUAUAUUUUAAUACCGACAAAUGAAUAUAGCAAUUCAUCGAAAGAAAAAACCGGGUUUCAGAUUAUCAUCAUCCGAAAGUCAUCAUCAUCAUAUUGCAAUGUUCGACGACUGCGGCGACGACGACGACGAUUAUUGCAUCAAGUUGAGUCGACUCUUGGAGAGAUUUGUUUGUUUAUUUCUGUGUGCAUAUUGGAUACAUAUCAAUGAUGGCCGUAACUUUUUUUCGUGUGUGUAGAUCAACUACGGCGUCGGCGUCAUCGUUUAUCAACAAUUUAUAUUUUGGUUUCUUUGAAAAAGAAAAAACCAGCGCCCGGCAUUGCCACAUUGCACCAUUCAUUCAUUCCCAUUCAUAGCACCGAAGAAAAAACAGAAAACAGAAACUCCAGAGAUGACUUUCGUUCGAACGACAUAUAUAUGAUUCAUUCCAUUCAAUUCAAUUCAAUUCAACACAACAGACUUGACUCGACGAAAAACAAAUGUUUGUUGUGAAACGAUCAAGGAAUUUUUUUUACUAAACCAAGAAAAUGAAGAAUUCUCUUAAAAUUCGGCGCAUGUAAAUGAUAACAACAAAAAAAAAAAAAAAACUUGGUUGUGGUGGUGGUAGCCAACAGUUGCAAUACCGUGGUGCUGCUGCUGCUGUUUCUUUUGUUGUUGAAUACACACAACAAUCAAAUUUUCCAUGUCAUUAUCAUUAUCAUCAUCAUCAUCGUUUGUUUAUUUUGAUUUUGUUUCUGUUCGUUUGUUCGUUCGUGUUGUUUUUAAUUCAUACUACUAAACAACCAAAAGAAGAUUCUUCAGCGAUAUAGACACACAGCAUCAUUUCAUUUGACAUUGCAAAAAAGCCGCAUUACUACUGUCAAAUACACAGAAUUCAUAUUUCAAUUUUUCAAAACAUCGUCGACCAUUCAAUGAGUGGUUGUUGUUGUUGUUUUUGUAUUUCAAUGUUUUUAUUUUAAUCUCCAAACAGAAGAAGAGAGACACAUGUCUAGUCGUGUGUGUUUGUAUAUGGUUAAUAUCGUUCGUCAAUGAAAGAAAAAGAGAGAGAGAAAGAUAAAAAGAGAAUGAAAUAAUUUUGUGGUAUAUAACUUGGUAGUAUAGUUUCAAUGUUAUAAAUGUUUUGUUUUCAAGAUUGGUGUCCUGUGCCUGUUUUUUUUUCUCAUUCGAAUCAAUAUUUUUGAAUGUCAAUGGAUUGAUGGAUGAAGUUUUGACCAAAAUGAUUCAAAUCAUCAUCAUCAGAACUAUUUAUCGGUUGUCGUCGUUGACAACCAAUCGACAACAUUACGUGUGUGUGUGUGUUCAAAACAUAAUCGAGCUUAUUAUUAUCAAAAUGUCAAAAAAAUUCAAACUUUCAUUACAGCUAAAUACAAGGUAAAAAAAUUGUUUGAAAAGAACAUUUAUUUUCUACCACUGCUACUACUACUACUACUGCUACAAGAUUUUCGAUUAAUGGCCAUUGAUUUUGAUCAAUCAAUCAAUCAUUCGUGAAGACAAUAUAUUGGACAAUUAAUAAAAAAAAGUAGAAAUCAAUAAAAUUGAUCAUCAUCAUCAUUAUAAUCGAUGUUUGAAUUCAUCUACAAUGAAACUAUACAUCAACCAUUAUUAGCGAAUACUAAGAUAUUUUUUCUUUUCAUGAUUUUCAAGGGGAACAAGUUAUUCAUUUAUUAUUCAUGACCAAACUUGGAAGAGAACAAAACAAAACAAAACAAAACUUUCUUUCGUUCGUUCGUUUGUUGAUUUAUUCAAAAGUUGGAUCCAUAUGAGAAUCGUUUAUAUGUGUGUUUUGAAAAUUGAAUCAUCGUCAUCACAAAAUUAUUACAUAAAUCAUUUGGCUACAAAAAAUUUCAAUUGAAUCAACACACGCACAAUCGAUGAUCGGAAAUAAUAGUCAUCAUCAUCAGUAUAACGAAUGAACGAAUGUUUUGAAGAAAGCAGAAUUUUUUUUUUUUUGCUCAAUUCACUGUUCAUCAUCACAAUAACAAAUACCAGACAUUGACUGGAAAUUGACUAAUUGUGGAUUUCCUGGUUUGUUGUCGUUUGUUUCAUUUUUGUAUUUUAGUCUGGUUCGUUUAUCUUUGUGUGUGUGUGUGCGUUUUGUUUUUGUAAAGUUUGAAUUUUUUUUCUGCAAAUUCAUCGCCAUCCAUCUAUAGUUACGCAUAUGACAACAUUCAUUGUAUUUGGAUGAUACAUUUCAUUUCCUCACAAUCACCAAAUCAACAAACACAAAGGAAUUUUUCAAUUUCAUUGAUGAACAACGUUUAAAUAAAC